UAUCGGAUUGAUACUAAGCCAUGCGAGUCAUUGUAGCAAUACAAGGCAUACGGCUCAGUAACGCGUAGUCAACCUAACCUAUGGACGGGAAUAACCUCGGGAAACUGAGAAUAAUGCCCGAUAGAACAUUAUGCCUGGAAUGGUGUAUGUUCCAAAUGAUUUAUCGCCGUAGGAUGGGACUGCGGCCUAUCAGUUUGUUGGUGAGGUAAUGGCCCACCAAGACUAUUACAGGUACGGGCUCUGAGAGGAGUAGCCCGGAGAUGGGUACUGAGACACGGACCCAGGCCCUAUGGGGCGCAGCAGGCGAGAAAACUUUGCAAUGUGCGAAAGCACGACAAGGUUAAUCCGAGUGGUUUCUGCUAAAGAAACCUUUUGUCAGUCCUAGAAACACUGAUGAAUAAGGGGUGGG
rnacentral:rRNA from 1 species